UACGUAGGGGGGCAAGCGUUGUCCGGAUUUAUUGGGCGUAAAGAGCGUGUAGGCGGCCAGGUAGGUCCGUUGUGAAAACUCGAGGCUCAACCUCGAGACGCCGAUGGAAACCAUUUGGCUAGAGUCCGGAAGAGGAGAGUGGAAUUCCUGGUGUAGCGGUGAAAUGCGCAGAUAUCAGGAAGAACACCCGUGGCUAAGGCGGCUCUCUAGUACGGUACUGACGCUGAGACGCGAAAGCGUGGGGAGCGAACAGG
rnacentral:rRNA from 1 species